rnacentral:tRNA from 6 species
CGGAGCGUAGCGCAGCCAGGUAGCGCAAUAGUUUUGGGUACUAUGGGUCGUCUGUUCGAAUCAGACCGUUCCGACCA